UCCCUGGAGGACCAGUGGUUAGGCCACAGUGCUCUCAGCGUUGUGGCCCGGGUUCGAUUCCUGGCCAGGGAA
rnacentral:tRNA from 1 species